rnacentral:lncRNA from 1 species
AAUAUGUUUGCAUGCUGGGGAACAUGUACUAGUAUUUCUGUAGAGUGAUAUUUUUUAGAAGUAGAACUGGUAGGCUAUUGGGUAUACAUGUCUUCACAUUAUUAUUACAAAAACAUUAUAUUGAAAAUAUAGAUUUACAUGUCUACCAGAAAAUACUAGAUUCCUAUUCCUCCAUUCAGCCCCAUCCUCAGUAAUACUUGAUAUUGUCAGACUUUGAAUUUGCCAGUCAGAUGAGUAUGCAAUAGUAUCUCAUACAACUUGCAUUUCAGAUUAUUUGUGAGAAUCUUUUUCUAUGUUUAUUGGCCUUUUGAGUUUUCUCUGAAUUGAAUCCUCAUAUCAUUUGCCCUUGUUUCUUUGGAGUUUGUUUCUAUUUGUUUUUACUUUUACUUGUGAAUGGAAUGUUUUGGUUUUUGUUAGUCUUUCCUUUAUGAUUUUUGCUAUUUUUCUUAAGAAAUCUUUCUUGCUGGGCAUAUCCACACACUCCUAUAAUCCCAGGGACUCAGGAGGCUGAGGCAGAAGGAUCAAAAGUUCAAGGCCAGCCACUCAUUAACUCAGCAAGGUCCUAAGCGGCUCAGUGAGAUCCUGUCUCAAAAUAAAAAAUAAUAAUUAAAAAAAAAAAGGACUGGGGAUGCUGCUCAGUAGGUAAGCGCCCCUGGGUUAAAUCCCCAUUACAAAAAGAAAAAAGUCAUUCUCAUGUUUCUUGCAGUAGCUUUUGUUUGGUUUGGGUUUACCUUUUCAAAAGUGUAGUCAGAUAAGAGAGGUAGGGAAUAUUUUUAAUGUUUUUCUUAUAAAAUCAAAGUUUAGGUUCUUUGGAGUAAAAUAGGCUCUUUGCUGUUUACAAGAUUAUUUCUGAAUUGCAAAAAUUCUCUCCACUAUUCUUCUAAUCAAUCUAGGCUGCCACAAUCAGGAAGUGCAAAGACACUGCAUCUAUAGAGAAAACCUUAGCAGCAGAUAGUAACCGUUCCCAGUCUGUCAAAUAGAUGCAUCCUUCAGUAGUUCCAAAGUCUUCCCAUCCCCCAAACAUACAUAUUAUGUUUUUAUACUGCCAUAUAAAAUAUGAAGUAAGGAAUCUUUAAUUUUUUUUGUCACACAGCUAGCUAGCUGUGCCAAUGCCAAACUUACCCCAUCAAAUGACCAAUACAUGAUCCACUUAAUCCUAGCUUCUGUUCUGUUAUCUUUUUGUCUAACUUGUGCAGCUAUCAUGUCAUAUUCAUUACUUCAUCCUUGUAAAUGCUGAUUUCUGGCAGGUAGUAUUUGGACACAAUACCUUUAUUUUAUUUAUUUAUUUUCAUGUGCUGAGGAUCCAUCCAGGGCCUCACAUGCUAGGUGAGUGCUCUAGCACUGAGCCACCACCCCACCCCCAGUGUCUUCAUCUUAUUUAAAUCUAGUUCCUUUUAAUACAAAUGUAAUAAUCUGUACUUUGAUUCUUAACAGCUUGCAUCCAUUUUGGUAUCUGAUAUUGAAAAUUCCUCCGCUCCCUUGUAUAUUUAAAUUUUAAAUUGUAGUGUGGUACCACAUUGCUUACUCGUUCUAAUCUACCAUGACUAUGCUUCUUCCCCUUGCCAAGCUAUGAGGAAGCCUAAGGCAAAAGUAAAAUUCAGAGUUAUGACUCUACCUUUACUUAAAAUUUGGAUAUUUAUCAUGAUAUUUUGAUAUUUAUGAUAUUUAUCAUGAUAUUUUAAAACGUUGCAUUAAAAUACUUCUUUUGGCUGGAUGCAGCACUGCACACCAUAUAAGCCCAGGUUUACAAGCUGGAGGCCAGCCUCAGCAAUUUAUUGAGACCUGGACUCAAAAUUUAAAAAAGGGCUGGGAACAUAGUUCAGUUGUAGAGUGCCCCUGGGUUCAAUCCCCAGUACCCACCCCUCCAAAAAAAAAAAAAAAGUGACAUUUUUUCUCCAAGGCAAAAAUGUUUGAAUCUAGUCCCAGCUGGAAAGUGUGAAUUCCUGAGCUUUUGAAGUGACUGUCUCUAGACUCUUUCUGAUGUAAGGCAGGUGUUCCUGCCCCUUAGCCUACUAGCAUCCUUUAACAUAGAACAGUUUUUUUCUGGGCAGCUUGGUGAAAUGGAGGAAGGGUCAGAUUAAUGCACCCUGAACCCUGGCAGCAGGAAUUUGCUAUAGCUUUGCUUCUGGAGGCAGUGGAUAUGUUUUAAUACUUUGAAAACAUAAGACAGAGAAAUGGGUUAUAAAAAGUUGUCAUUUAUGUAAAAAUCUAAAUUCCCCAAUUACUAUUUUUUUAACAAGACAUUUUAAUAUCUUUGAAAUUGUGAACCAUCCUAAGAUCAGUGGCAUCUUUCCACUGUCAUGGGCUAGGUAGCUAUCAUGGCAUAGUUGCAUUAACUUGGUCAUACCUAUUCACAUUUCGGUUCAUAAUUCUGUACUCUGUUGGGACUAUGUUAAGUUUAAAUGUGAUUUUAAAUGUCUUCAAAAUGACCACACUGAUUUAACAUAUAACAGAUAUAGCAUUACUAAGAUUUAAAAAAGAUCUAAGCCUUAAAAACCUGUUGUAAUAACUAUAAAAUAAUCAUAAGUUUUGAUAAUGUAUUUUUGUAGUUUAAUUGACAGCAUUUUUAUGAUGCAUAUUUUCAAUUGAUACUUAUUUUGUUGAUUUGUGAGAGCUCCUAAUGUUUAGAAAAUUAACCAUUCUGUUAAAUACAACAAAUUAUUUUCUUCAGCUUACUACUUGCCUUUCAAUAUUGUAAUAUUAUUUAUGAGUUUGUGGGUAUUGUUUUAAUGAAAGGUUUUGAGGGAUGAGACCAAGAACAAAGGGCACCUAUCAAUAUGGAAAGACUGAAUUCCUGAAAAACCAAACCACAAGCUCAACAUCAUAGUUCCCCCCCUAAAUCUUAACAUUGUGUUGUUUCUGUGCAUUUUCUUACCCUAACCUUUUUGUGUUUGUGUUAGCAUUUCUUACAGGCAGAAUAAGGUCUUUUAACUCAUUGUGAUGGAAGAGGGCUAAGAUGCUCAGACCUAGAGGGUACUGGAUAUGUGUGCUUGGUCAGAAACCUUCCCUUUUGCUCUCCAUAUGCACUUUUUUUUUUUAGAGAGAGAAUUUUUUAAUAUUUAUUUUUUAGUUUUCGGCGGACACAACAUCUUUGUAUGUGGUGCUGAGGAUCGAACCCGGGCCACAAGCAUGCCAGGCAAGCGUGCUACCGCUUGAGCCACAUCCCCAGCCCUCCAUAUGCUCUUUAAAUCAAAUAUGGUGGCAUUUGUUUUGCUUUAUUUAAAAAAAAAAAAAAAGUAGUAGUAGUAAUAAAAUUUAUAUCCAGAAAACUGGAAAGAACUUAGGUGUUAAAUUUGAUGAGUUUUGAGAAGUGUCAUUUUAACAUCCAAAAGUUUUAGAAUUUUAUCAUUUUCUUUGACAGUUUCAUCAACCUUCAGAUGUAUACA